CUAUUUUCCCUUUUCCUUGCUUGCUUACACAUCAUGAGUAGAAACAAUUUAACCGCAUAACUGCACCAUGAAUUUAAUCUUGUGGCAUGUCAGGUGGUAUUAAAAUAUGUGUGCAUGCAUCUCACCUACAUUUGCUUAUUUGUUAUCUUCAUGUUUGCGAGUAUAUUCAAAGUACUAACUAGCUUGUCCCUCGCUAUUGUGUAGGCCACAUCGCAUAUUUGGAGAGGAGAAGGAUGAUAGAAACCCCAGAACCUGAGAGUGGAGGAUAGCAGCAUUAUGAUAUAGGAAUUAUCAAGGUUAGUUGUUCCCGUGGAGAUGGACCCCAUGAGGACUGGAGGCUUCAUGAGCCGCUUCCGCCGUCAGCCUCUAGACAUUUUUGUCCAACCUACCCUCUUAGACCUUCAUGGUUUUGUACCCAAAUUUUGUAAUUGCCUGGAAUAUCUGUUUCCAGUAAGUGUUCAAUAGCUAAUAGUAGUCCUGGGGCUAAUGAACACAAGGGUAUGUUUUCUGGAAAUUUGUUUCCAAAAAACCGGUUGAUACAAACAUCAAAUGGGG
rnacentral:lncRNA from 1 species